rnacentral:rRNA from 1 species
UACAGAGGGUGCAAGCGUUGUUCGGAAUUAUUGGGCGUAAAGCGAGUGUAGGCGGGAUGGCAAGUCGGAUGUGAAAGCCCACGGCUCAACCGUGGAAGUGCGUUCGAAACUGCCGUUCUUGAGUGUCGGAGAGGGUGGCGGAAUUCCCGGUGUAGAGGUGAAAUUCGUAGAUAUCGGGAGGAACACCAGUGGCGAAGGCGGCCACCUGGACGAACACUGACGCUGAGACUCGAAAGCGUGGGGAGCAAACAGG